rnacentral:lncRNA from 1 species
GCGGUGUGCGUUCCCUGCAAGUUGCGGGUCUCGAUAGCUAUAGAUUGGUGGCAAUUCCUCGCCAGAGUCGGGCUUCGCCUCAGAUCCGCCAUGCCUCGUCGUACGACCGCCUCAUAGUCUAAAAUCUCGGUGAGAUUUCCCCUACGAUUAUCGUCAUUGUCCAGGCUGUGCGUAGCACCAUUUUAAUCGGGGAUCUUUGCUUAGUGGCGCGCGCCGGCGAUGCCCCGUCGUGGUGUGGUUUGCGUCGCCGGUGGGUCAGCCGAGGGGGAGAAGAAACUGGGCUGGCCGUCGGAUCGGUGAUGGUCGGCUGAGAAUAGAAGCAGGAUACCUCUUCGCGGGAUUCGAUCCUCACCGUUGGAUCAGGAUCUGGUGGCUCGGGUUGGGUUAAACUUUAUAAAAAUCUGGAGCGUUCAGGGGAGAUCCUGCGGUGCGCGCUGGAUGCGGGUUUCCUUGGGCUAGGAACUAAUUUGGGCCCUCGAUUUUAGAUCAGACGGCUAGAAAUUAAAGAUACCUCUUUGGCGUGGUCGAUUUACAAAAGAAACCCUAGCUUUAUUCGAAUUGAUGCCCGCCAUCCUUUUCUUUGAAACUUAUCGUAAGCAGGUCCCUGGUUUUUACAAAAUCACCCCUGAAGUUUAUUUUAUGCAUAAAAAGGUAUAUAAAAAUGGAUAAAAACUUAGAUAAUUCAUAUCUUGAUCAUUUUAACUCCAAAUUAAUCCAUUCCAGUGGUAUUAAUUUUGUUUUAAUAUUGUCUAUCAACUAGCAACACUGUUUAGCCAUAAAACUUAAGUAAAACUGUCCAUUUGAAUUAAUCUAUUCUAGAUGCUUAUUAACUUCAGAAAAUCAUAACUUAAAAUCUAUAACUCCAAAAUUAAUGAUUCAUGUUCCUAGAAUAUUAUUUUUAUGUGUAGAUUAUUAUUAUGUAUUUUGUUUACAUGUUUGGUGUGAUAUUAAUUUUGCAUAUACACUAUUUGUAUGUAUUGCUACGUUUAGCAGUGAGGAUACGUAUCAUCUGAAGAGCAAGUUGGUACCUGGAAUCUCAAGUCCCAGGCAAGUUGUGCCCUUGAUCACUUCUUUUUACCGAGUCAUGUUCUAAUUAAUCAUAAUGAUCUGCAUAGGUUAAUUUUGAUGGGACCCAAUAGGUUACCCUAGUUUGUCUAUCUUUAUACCUUGUUUUACCACUCAAUAUUUUUGGGUAGUACUUGUGUUGGGGCGAAGGCAAAGACGCCACCCUUCGCUCAUCGCCUUUCGCUGCAGUCGCUGGUCUGACAGAGACAAAACGGGCAGGGACACCCUUCGCUUCAUUCAGCACCAGACGAAGGCCUGCGGUGACGUCUCCCCGCAGCGCGGCCUCGUCCUGCUUCUGAGGCCCACGUGCGAUCUGGCCCAUUGUAACGGGCCCCGCGUGGCCGCCUUUGCGUUACGGGCCUAGUUUGUAAAGGCAUUCUUGUAAUUACGGCUUGUAACCCUGCUUUAUGGGAAUAUUCUGGGGAUAAACUAGGUGUCUGAGGGCACAUGUGUCCUUAACACAAGGCGUUGGGCACUCAGAUACCUAUAAAUACCCCCGCACAGUGCCCGUGAGAGGCUAGAUUAACAGAGCUAUUGCCCCCGAGCACGUAACCCUGUUGUCACCACUGUUCACUCUUGUUGGCUUCUUUGCUUCUGAGAGCAAGUUCCAACAUUUGGCGCCCACCGUUCGUGCUACGACCAAACCACCCG